CGACAGUGGACAGAUUCCGGUACGGGUAAAUGCCGGGAAAGAAAACUGUGCUAGAUUGCUGGGUGCUAACGCUGCUCCGCUUUCAGAACUUUGAAGAGAAUUAAAAAUACACAGGCCGCCGUUUCCAGGAACUCGGCAGUACACACAGAAGAAGGAGAAAAAGAGAAGUUACGAACAUCUGCAGAUGGGAGAUAAGUUUCUAGGCGUUUCGACUUAUUGGACCAGUAAUGUAUCAGAAGCUUGCGCGGAUCGAAGGCACGCGAGGCACGGCGAGGAGGAGACUUUUGAAAGGAUACUCGGAGCUCCUCGGCGAACGCAAUAAAAUGCGAGGAAAGACGAACUAGGAAGUCGUGGAAACCCUUUGAUCCGACGUAUAUUCUCUAUCCCGAUACGAAAUGGAGCACGUAGUCCUUAAACAGACGUCAAAG